rnacentral:rRNA from 1 species
AGAGUUUGAUCCUGGCUCAGGAUGAACGCUGGCGGCGUGCUUAACACAUGCAAGUCGAACGAUGAAGCCCUGCUUGCAGGGUGGAUUAGUGGCGAACGGGUGAGUAAUAUAUAGCUAACCUGCCCCUUAGAGAGGGACAACAGUUGGAAACGACUGCUAAUACCUCAUACUCCUUCUUACCAUAUGGUAAGUCGGGAAAUGCUCCGGUGCUAAGGGAUGGGGCUUUAUGGUAUCAGAUAGUUGGUGGGGUAAUGGCCUACCAAGUCAAUGACGCCUAGCUGGUCUGAGAGGAUGAUCAGCCACACUGGAACUGAGACACGGUCCAGACUCCUACGGGAGGCAGCAGUGGGGAAUAUUGCACAAUGGAGGAAACUCUGAUGCAGCAACGCCGCGUGGAGGAUGACACAUUUCGGUGCGUAAACUCCUUUUAUAUGAGAAGAUAAUGACGGUAUCAUAUGAAUAAGCACCGGCUAACUCCGUGCCAGCAGCCGCGGUAAU